AUGAACCCUAGCAACUCGGGAACAAUGAAUGCUUCCAACCCAGUGCCCUUGCCUAUCAUCCAGGGAAGCAGCCUCUGCUCCUCUCUCUGGCCUCUUUUCGCGGAGAAGUGGCUCUGGUGGCAACUUGCUGAGCAUUUUGGCAUCUUGGAGUGGCAGCAGCAAUUGUUCAGGGUUGGCGGUGAGUUUCCCUUGAUACUAUACUGGGAGAAGCUUAGUAGCCUGGUUCAGGUGAGGUAUCUUCACUGAGCUCUCUCAGAGUUUAGGUUGAUUCUUUUCUCCUUUACCUUCCAAACACUAUCCUCUUGGGAAAGCCUCUAAUCUUCUUCAAAGACCUCGUGGCGGAGGUCUUUGAACUCCCCCUGGCACAGGCCAGGCAGGAGAAAUCCUAUACCCUCUCUUUCUCUUCUCCUUAAUUCUUUCCCUCUAUAUUAAUUAAAAUCACCAUAAAUUUCCAAACUGACUUGGAUAUUUUAUUGGGAUUUUCUCUGGUGACCAAAUUAAUUUAGAUUAAGUCACAACCCUAAAAUUACCCUUACACUUGACAUUUGUACUAUUUAUAGGAAUGCAAGUAUUUAUAACAGUUUGUUCACAUGACUACAUGGUGAAUAAGGUAUGGUCACAAAUAGAAACAAGUCUCAUGUAGCAUGCAGAACAAAAAUGAACAUGUUCACACAUAUGACCAUCCACUGAGAAUAGGUCUAUGUUUACCUAUUGACCCUUGUGGUGAUGUAGAAACAGUCUGAUCCUAGAUUGAGAAACUCUAAGAACAUGUGCUUAGUCAGAAGCAGGCAGGCUUUGGUGAAAUUGUUGCACAAACACCGAAUCAUUGUUUGCAUGAGCGUGAUGUUUUCAAGUUACUACAAGAACACAUCUAGAAUGUUUGCAGCAAAAGCGACUUACGUGUCUUAAAGGAAACCUGCAUUUAUAACUGAAUGAUUGUUAACUGCUUAUACUACCAUUCAAUUUUGGUGUAAAUUCCAUGGACCAUUGUCAUUUGGAGGUCCUCGAGCCACUAAAUGAAAACUACAUACAUUAUGUAUUUCUUCUGUGUUUGCAGCUUUGCAAAUGUCACUUGUUGCUUCAUGGUUUAAGAAAAAUGACAUUAAAUUUAUGCAUAAUAAAUGUGUAAUAAAAUAACCUGACA
rnacentral:lncRNA from 1 species